UCACUUUCUAUUAAAAUGUUGAAUUGUGAGAAUUUGGAAGAUCCUCUACAAUGCGAAAUGAAAGAAAUGCUCGCAAAUGACAUAUAUUUAUGUUUGCAAAUAUUGCUUUAUUCUGCUGUCGCUUUUACUUGCCUCGAGUUCUGCAUUGCUAUAAUUAAACAUUACUACGCUAAUGACAGUCCACCGAGAUGUCCUCGCAAACAACAGGAACCCAUUUUUAUCGAGAUGAGAACAUUUCGUGACCUACAACCUAUUGGAAACAUAUAACUACCUAAUUCUUAUCAUAUGUAUUAAAAAAUGUUGGUAUUUAUAGAUUUAUGAUGCAAUCAAAAAUUUAUAAAUAUCAUGUUAAAUGUAUAUAUGAUGAGAAAUGCAAAGAACUUAGUAUUGUUGGUCAAAAUAGAAUUGGGGACUUGGUGUCAGCAUGCAUGCAAUUAAUAAGCUUCUUUAUUUUCUUUGCGGCAAUAUGAUUUCAAAAAUAGCUCAAUAGCUUUUUUUAGCUUUUGCUUUCAAUGUAUUUAAAAAAAAUUAAAAAAAAAACUAGCUGAAAUUUACUGUAUUGAGCAUAAAAAGAAUAAAAGCAUAUAUGUAAAAAUAAACUUAUUUUGUAGUUUCUCUUCCAAAUUUUAACAGUUCGUGUAUUGUAAUGUCGUCGUGUGAUCUUGAUUUUGAAUAUUCGCUUCAGUGCGAUUUAGAAGAAUUAUUAGCAUAUGAUGAUUUAUUUUAUUGGAGAAUAUUGCUUUACUUAACGUUCGGAUUGUUUUGUAUAUUGACAAUACUAUUAUUAAUGCGUAUAGUCUGGGAAUAUGCAUUCCGACGGAGACGUCCUCGAAGACCACCGCUACGACGGGAACCUUCUCUCAUCGAGGAGUUUCGAACAUUCCGUGACCUAUAACAUAUCUCAUCGCAUAUAAUAAAU